UCCACCUUAUAAUCUCCUUGUCACCAGGUGUCCAGUAUCCAACUCUCCUGCUCUUCCUAUCGAGGAGAGGUGACAGGUGGAGAGGCACACCUGUCAAGUAGCGCUCAUUUGCCAUGCACCUGCCCGACCUAAUAGUCCCUCCACACUGAGACGUUUUACACACGCCCAUUCUCUUUAUCAAUCAUGCAAGCCCUUCCCCCUGGCCGGCCAAUCAGCUCCCUCCUAGCCUGCCUGUGGGGAUAUGUGCAUGUUACUGAUUGGUGGAGACUACGUGAGAGGGGAAGGAUGGGGGAGGGAGGAAGGGAGUGUGUGCGUUUGUGUGUCUGUGUUUGUGUAGCGUAUCCGUCGCUCUCUCUCUCUUUCUCUCUCUCUCUCUCUCUCUCUCUCUCUCUCUCUCUCUGUCUCACGCUCACUCCCUUCGGCGAGGCUCUAAGUGUGACUCUGAGCAGUAGUUGUGUCACGGGGUUGAGCGUGAACGUGAGUGAUCUUUUCUCUCUCUCUCUCUCUCUCUCUCUCUCUCUCUCUCUCUCUCUCUCUCUCUCUCUCUCUCUCUCUCUCUCUCUCUCUCUCUGUCUAUCUAUCUCCAUCUCUAUCUCACUCUCUCGUUGUAUUUCCGAUGGAGAUAAUUUUCCUGACUGUUUUCUUUCUUUCUUUUCUUUAUUUUCUUGCUGUCUGUGUUUUCUUGAUCUUUUUCUUUCUGUUUCCACUCAUUUUUCUUUUUCCUUUAUUUUUUUUUCGUAUACUCUGUUUUCUCUCUCUAUUUUCUCUCUCUCAACCCGAAGUCAGGGAGGAAAAGAGUGAGAAAAAGAUACUGAGCGAGAAAAAAAAAUGAGCGAAAAAGGAAAAUAUUUGUCACGAUGAUAAAGGAAAGAAAAGACAGUCAGACAGACAGAUAAAACAUUCCGACAGUUAAAACAAACGUCAGACAGCAACAGGAGACGACGAAGAUCAAACAGACUCAAAGAAAGCUGAAGAAAAAAAAUCAAAAUCGAAAAAGGAAUAAAAAAUCAAGAAAAAGUGAUAUUUGAAUAAAAAAAAAAAGAUUAGAGAUCGGGAAAAAAAAUUUGUGAUGUUGAAAAAGAUAAUAAUAAGGAAAAUAUGAGGAAAAAAAAUGAAAAGUGAAAUAGAAGAAAAAGAAAGAUCUCGAAUUUGUCUUGAGUUUUGAACAGACGUGAUGAGAGAGAAAGAAAAGUAAGACAAUUCGUAUACAGAGAAAAGAAAAGAAGUGAAAUAAGAAAAGAAAAAGAAAGAGGUCGCGGAAGUAUAAUUGAGAGAGAAAGAAAGAAAGAAUAAAAGAAAAAGAAAAAAAAUGAGAGAAAGAAAAGAAAACAUUACAUAUACAGAGAGAAAAAAAGAAGUGAAGUAAGAAAAGAAAAAAAAGAAAGAUCGCGGAAAUAUAAUUGAGAAAGAAAGAAAAAAAUAAAAAAAUGAGAGGAAGAAAAGAAAACAAUACAUAUACAGAGGAAAAAGAAGAGUGAAAUAGGAGAGGAAAAAAAGGAAAGGUCGCGAAAGUUUAAUUUUUCUUUCCCUUUUUCAACAGAUAAGAAAAAAAAAAAUCGUGCGGAGAAAAUAAAGAAACGUAACAUUAAGCGAAAAGAAAAAAAAGAGGUCGGAAGAAAUUGAAACGAAAUUGAAGAGGAAAAAAAAGAAGAAAAAAAAAGUUGCCAAAGAAGACGAUAUAUUAAGAAAACAAAGUGAAAGAAAGAAAGAAAAAAGAAAACUGGUGAAGAUAAUUGAUAAAGAAAAAAGAAGGAAGAAAUUGAUGCUAAAUUGAACAAAGAGGAAACGAGAAAAGAAAAAAAUAACAACAAAAAUCUGCCAAAGAAGACGACAUAUUAAGAAAAGAAAGAAAAAAAAACGGAAACGGGUGAAGAUAAUUGAUAAAGAAAAAAAAGAAGAAAAAAACAAGAUAAUACCAAAGAAAAGAAAGUAUAAAUGAAACGAAUUAAACCAGAGAAAAAAAAGAAAGAAAGAUAAGUUGAUCAAGAAGAUAACAAGAGAGAAAGUACCAAAGAAAAGUAUGCGCAAAACAAACCCCAACUGACAUAGAGAAAUAAAUUAAUAGAGAAAAAGAAGUGACGGAGAAAAUAAGUAAUGAAGAAAAUAUAGUCACGUGAAUAUCCGGACGCCGCUAAGAAGAGGAGGAGGAGGAGAAGCAGAGACAGGAAACAAGAGAACAGCGGCAUCAAAACAUCGACCGUCAACCCACAUCAUGAAGGGCAUGAGUGCGUGGGUGGAGCAGGGAUGGUGCCCCCCCGACCCCGAGCCCCCUUAAAAGGCAGGAAGUGGAGCCGCCCUGGGACACCACCUUCGCUUAUCCGGACCUGCUCAACUAUCCGGACUCCCCUCCACGCCAAGACUUCCAAUAUCCGGACUCACUCUGCUUGGACUAUCCGGACCGUCGCUACUGGAAGGCCGCUUUAUGGACUCAUAUUACCGGACUUCUUUGAUUAUACGGAUUUUUCAUCGAAUUUCAGUUAUCCGGACCACUUCAUUUAUCCGGAUUGACUUAUCAGAAAUCCCUCGCCAUUAUCCGGAGUGCCUUAACCGGAUUGUCUCGAUUAUACGGAUUCUUUCUACGAAUUUCGAUUAUCCGGACUUGAGGGUACCACUUCAGUUAUCCGGACUGAGUUGCCAGGACUACGUUGCUAUUAUCCGGAGUGCCUUAACCGGAUUGUCUCGAUUAUACGGAUUCCUUCUACGAAUUUCGAUUAUCCGGACUCGAGGGUACCACUUCAGUUAUCCGGACUUGAGUUGCCAGGACUGCGUUGCUAUUAUCCGGAGUGCCUUAACCGGAGUGCCUCGAUUAAACGGAUUUCCUCUACGAACUUCGAUUAUCCGGACACUUUUUAGGGUACUACUUCGUUUAUCCGGAUUCUGCGUCCAUUAUCCGGAGUGGCUUAACCGGAUUGCCUCGAUUAAACGGAUUUUCUCUGCGAACUUCGAUUAUCCGGACACUUUUUAGGGUACUACUUCGUUUAUCCGGAUUCCGUUACCAUUAUCCGGAGUGCUUUAACCGAACUGAAUAACUGCUGAUGAGGUGUGGUAAUCGUACGUCCAGAAUCUCAUCCGUCCUUUGCCUCACUUAUCCGGACUCAAGAGUACUUAACCGGACGUCUUACCCUUAUCCGGAACAGUUCUUGGUGUGAUAACUUUUUUUUUUUUUUUUUUGCUUUUCCUUACCUUACCUUACCUUACCUUACCUUACCUUACCUUACCUUACCUUACCUUACCUUACCUUACCUUACCUUACCUUACCUUACCUUACCUUACCUUACCUUACCUUACCUUACCUUACCUUACCUUACCUUACCUUACCUUACCUUACCUUACCUUACCUUACCUUACCUUACCUUACCUUACCUUACCUUACCUUACCUUUCCUUACCUUACCUUACCUUACCUUACCUUACCUUACCUUACCUUACCUUACCUUACCUUACCUUACCUUACCUUUCCUUACCUUACCUUACCUUACCUUACCUUACCUUACCUUACCUUACCUUACC